rnacentral:rRNA from 1 species
GACGAACCGUGCGAACGUUAUUCGGAUUCACUGGGCUUAAAGCGCGUGUAGGCGGCCCGGCGCGUCGGUCGUUGAAAGCCCCCGGCUCAACCGGGGAAUCGGCGCCGAUACGGCCGAGCUGGAGGGGUGUAGGGGGGCCUGGAACUUCCGGUGGAGCGGUGAUAUGCGUUGAGAUCGGAAGGAACGCCCGAGGCGAAAGCGAGGCCCUGGACACUUACUGACGCUGAGACGCGAAAGCCAGGGGAGCAAACGGG